rnacentral:rRNA from 1 species
UGGGGAAUAUUGGACAAUGGGGGCAACCCUGAUCCAGCAAUGCCGCGUGUGUGAAGAAGGUCUUCGGAUUGUAAAGCACUUUCGACGGGGACGAUGAUGACGGUACCCGUAGAAGAAGCCCCGGCUAACUUCGUGCCAGCAGCCGCGGUAAUACGAAGGGGGCUAGCGUUGCUCGGAAUGACUGGGCGUAAAGGGCGUGUAGGCGGUUUACACAGUCAGAUGUGAAAUCCCCGGGCUUAACCUGGGAGCUGCAUUUGAUACGUGUAGACUAGAGUGUGAGAGAGGGUUGUGGAAUUCCCAGUGUAGAGGUGAAAUUCGUAGAUAUUGGGAAGAACACCGGUGGCGAAGGCGGCAACCUGGCUCAUGACUGACGCUGAGGCGCGAAAAGCGUGGGGAGCAAACAGGUUAGAUACCCUGGUAGUCCACGCCUGUAAAACGAUGUGUGCUAGAUGUUGGGUA